AUGCUCGUGAAGGACUUGUACAGGAAGAAGGAAUUUGACCAAUGGGCUGAAAGGUUUAUCAAGAGGCUGCUUGGAUACCAGGAACAGGCCAAGCAGUUUAAUACCACAAGUAUACAAGAGUUUGGUCAGCAGCUGUGUGAGCUAGAGGAGGUGGUCCGCACGUUGGCACCGGUGAUGCUUGGUUACCAUGGGAAACGGCAGGAGGAGGAGCUGAUGAAGGCAGUGGAAGAGUUCAGGAUCAGGAUGGAGGAGACGGCGAGCGCCACCAAUCACACCCAGAGGAAGCAUUCCAGCCAGCUGAAAGUGCGCCUGGGACAUCCAGCAUGUAAAGAGGAGCUAGAUGCCCUGAGGAGGAGAGAGGAGGACAGACAGAGCCAGUACCGCAGCAGAAUCAACAGGAUUUAUGAAGAACUACAGGAGUGGAUGCAGGCCAGACAGGAGGACGUCACAGCAUCCCUGUUGUCCCUGACAGAGAGUUUAGUUUGCCAAGUGGACAACCUCCUUACAUUGGAGCUUUCAGAACAGCUCCCUACUCCAGACACUGAAGCUGGAAAGGAUUUGCUAAUGCCCAACAGCGUCCAGACAGCCAACAGGAUUGGGGCAGGACUUCCUAUCUCACAGUCCCUUGUUGAAGAUACGACAGCAUCCACGGUAACCAUGGCUACCGAAGACAAAACCCUUAUGACCAUGGCCAAUGCAACGUCCGCUGUAACCAUGGAAACAAGCUCAUCUAGUCAAACAACUAUAGAACCCUGUGUUGAUGCCACGGCAACAGCUGGUUCUGUCAGCAGCCCGAUACACCAGGAAAUCCUCCUACACAGAGACAGAGCUUUGAAGCGCUAUGAGGACGUCUCCAAGGCAGAGUCAGAGCGCUUCAGGAUGGACAGAGAGCGACUGCUGAUCCAGCUGCAGAGAUGGACUCACCAUUGGCAGCAACAGAUAAACACUUUGAGCACGCUCAAAACAGAGUAG
rnacentral:lncRNA from 1 species